AUGAAGCGUGGGUCGAAGGCGAUGGCGAACCAUUGGGGGCUUAUCCAAACGGCGUGCAACAAAUGGCAUGGGAUCGUCGAGGAGGUCGCGGCUUGCCCGGAGAGCGGCACCAGCGUCGAAGAUCAGCUGCUACGCAUGCUCGCCAUGUUCCGCGAUGACAACAUCGACGCAGAGUUCAAGUACCUUCACGUCUUCAAGCGGAUCGACAAGUGCGAGAAAUGGGCGGCCGUCGGACGCACCCUCGCCAAAGCGAAAGAGACGUACAAGCCGGACGCGCUGACCACGGGCGCAGCCGACGGGCGCCUGGACGGCAACAAAGGUGCCAAGAAGGCGAAAUACGCCGAGUCGGCUGCCGCGCGCGUGCAAGAGUCCAUCGAACACUGCCUCGCCGACGCCAAGACCAGGGCCGCUCAGCGAGAAGAGAAAACUGAGGCGAGGUGGGUUGUUUUGAUGACGAACAGCGCCGUCAAACUCGACUUGCUCCGGACCAACGCCGCCGCGAAACUCAAAGCUCAAGACGCGAAGAGAAGGAACAACGACCUCGCCUUCUUGAUGGGUGGCGCUGACAUGCUCCAGAGCGGCGACGAGAAGCUCAAGGUGUGGUUUUUGGUGGAGCGCGGCCUCAUCCUGAAUCAGAUACCGACGCCGCCAACGCCGCCGCCCAGCCCGGCGGCUGAUGACGAUGCCUCUGCGACGCCCAGCCCCCCCGACGAUGCCUCCGCCGCGCCCUGCAACACAGAAGCCGCGCCGACCAGCCCGGAAGCCGCGCUGACUCCUUCCAGCCCGCGUACGCCGCCGCCGACGCCGCCGGAGGUUGAGCUCGACGUUUGA
rnacentral:rRNA from 1 species